rnacentral:rRNA from 1 species
CCUACGGGGGGCAGCAGUGGGGAAUAUUGGACAAUGGGGGCAACCCUGAUCCAGCCAUGCCGCGUGUGUGAAGAAGGCCCUCGGGUUGUAAAGCACUUUCAGUGAGGAAGAACGCCUGGUGGUUAAUACCCAUCAGGAAAGACAUCACUCACAGAAGAAGCACCGGCUAACUCCGUGCCAGCAGCCGCGGUAAUACGGAGGGUGCGAGCGUUAAUCGGAAUUACUGGGCGUAAAGCGCGCGUAGGUGGCUCGAUAAGCCGGUUGUGAAAGCCCCGGGCUCAACCUGGGAACGGCAUCCGGAACUGUCAAGCUAGAGUGCAGGAGAGGAAGGUAGAAUUCCCGGUGUAGCGGUGAAAUGCGUAGAGAUCGGGAGGAAUACCAGUGGCGAAGGCGGCCUUCUGGACUGACACUGACACUGAGGUGCGAAAGCGUGGGUAGCAAACAGGAUUAGAUACCCCUGUAGUC